GAUGAACGCUGGCGGCGUGCCUAAUACAUGCAAGUCGAGCGAACAGAUGAGGAGCUUGCUCCUCUGACGUUAGCGGCGGACGGGUGAGUAACACGUGGAUAACCUACCUAUAAGACUGGGAUAACUUCGGGAAACCGGAGCUAAUACCGGAUAAUAUAUUGAACCGCAUGGUUCAAUAGUGAAAGACGGUUUUGCUGUCACUUAUAGAUGGAUCCGCGCCGCAUUAGCUAGUUGGUAAAGUAACGGCUUACCAAGGCGACGAUGCGUAGCCGACCUGAGAGGGUGAUCGGCCACACUGGAACUGAGACACGGCACAGACUCCUACGGGAGGCAGCAGUAGGGAAUCUUCCGCAAUGGGCGAAAGCCUGACGGAGCAACGCCGCGGGAGUGAUGAAGGUCUUCGGAUCGUAAAACGCUGUUAUUAGGGAAGAACAAAUGUGUAAGUAACUAUGCACGUCUUGACGGUACCUAAUCAGAAAGCCACGGCUAACUACGUG
rnacentral:rRNA from 1 species